CCUGCACACACAGAUAUCCCCCUAACAUAGCUAAAACUAAAAACAAACUAAAAACUACUUCCAAAAAUAUUCAGCUUUGAUAUUAAUGAGUUUUUUGGGUUCAUUGAGAACAUGGUUGUUGUUCAAUAAUAAAAUUAAUCCUCAAAAAUACAACUUGCCUAAUAAUUCUGCACUCCCUGUAUAGUGUCCCUUUAAUUAACAACUGUAUUAUAAAAAUAGCUAUUGUGUAACUUUUGCAAUUUGCUUAACUAACUAUGAAUUUCAAAAUAUAAUAAUUUGAGAACUAAUAAUAGGGGGAAUAAAAUGUGCAAAUUACUUUAGGGGGGUUGAGAGUGUAAAAUGAAAGCAGGUUCCGUAUGAUAACUGAAUACAGUGAAUACUAGGAUGGAAAUAGAUAGCAAAUAUACUAAUAUAAAAUAGUCUCUCUACGAGGGACAGAAAGGAAAGGGGAUUACAAAGUUUACUUUUAUAUUGAUUGUAAAGACUCCUUUUACAUGUUUAUCAUAGUCCCCUUUUUUAAAAACAAAUAACCUUCACCCCAGGAGCUGUGAUCAUUAGCAGUGAGAUCAUAAUAGGUGAUGUCAUGCUGUGAUGUCAUAAACAUAAUUGCUGCUGUAACUGCUUGAACAUUCUAUUUCUUCCCAUUUAUAACUGAGACCCUGACAGAGCUUCACCUAUAUUCAUGGUUCUCGUACCUUCCCAAUGGCUUUGAGAUCUCUGCCUGGAUGUGUCUGAAGACUUGGAGCUUGACUACCCUCAAUCUACUCUUAGCGAUGGAGGUUCUAGCAGGGGGCGUUGUAUUCCGUGCAGCUACUCAUAUACCCAUUAUCAAAUAUUGGUGCUUCUACAAGGGUUUUAUGUAUUGCACAUGCUGAGUUGGGCGGAUUGCAGAUAGGGCAGGGAAGGGAUUACUUAAUGAGCAACUUUUUUCCAGGUAUCGGUAUGUAUCAAUCUCUGUUUAAUCUGCUUUAGUAAUCUGUCUAUCUAUCUAUCUAUCUAUCUGUCUGUAUCUGUCUGUCUAUCUAUCUAUCUAUCUAUCUAUCUGUCUGUCUAUAUCAUCUACAUCUAUUGAAUUCUCUGUAUUUGCCUCUUAAUGCCCAGAGGGAAGGGCAAUCCUUCCAGCCAUGGUUCCCCAGAGGUUUCCUCCACAGGAGGUUUUUCCUUUCCUGAGUGCUGAAGGAUGACUCUUCGUGAGUCCAGAGGUCGCCCACAUCUUGGCUGUCUCCUGGACAAAUUUGUAUUAAUAUAGAACAUCCCGAGAUAGAGCUUGACACCUAAGUCCUUAAAGUGCAAAUUGAUAUUAAUGCUGUUAAAUAUACCUAAUAAAUGUAACAUUAAUUCAUAUUUAUGUCUCGUGUUGAUUUGUUUAAAUUAAUAAUUAGUAAAUUAAUUGUUUUGAUCUGGAGGCGUGAAAUGGCUUCUGAUAUGAUACAGAACAGCCACCUUGAAUAGUUGUUAUGGUGUUUUUAAUUAAAAUUGGAG